rnacentral:sRNA from 1 species
AGAUGAGGCCGUUCAGGCAUCCUCUCCUAAAACUCGGGGCCGCCACAGUGUGGCCCCUUUUUUAUCUGCUC